GCUAAAUAAAAUAAGAUAAGUAAUAACAAAAUAGGUUAAAAUAAAAUAAAUGAAUCUGAUAUCUAAUCAACCUAUUACUUCUGCUGCCGGUUUCUAUAUGUUAAGUUAAAAUAUCGCCAAAUCACCUGAAAAAUCAUGUUUACCUGCAGUUCCGCUCCUCUCGUUGUGAAAUCAGAAAACGUGUGUGUGUGUUUUUGUGUCUCUCAGUCAGACGUUUGUGAGUUUUGUGGAGCAGCUGCUGCAGAGACACCUGCUCUUCAGGAACACCCUGCAGGAGAGACUGUCUGCAGAACACUGGAAGUCUCUGAUCGGAGACAUCGUGGUGCAGCUCAUCGGACAGAACGACACGGCGUUCUCAAAGAUGUACCUCGGAUACACGACCACGCUCGCCUCCUUCCUCUCGCUGGAGUUCAACAGGAUCAGCGUCUCUGAGAAGAAGCAGAACCGAAUGAAUGUUCCUCCCUGUGUUCCUCAGAGCGGUCAGGAGGAGAUGAAGCUCCUCUCUCUGCUGCUCGCUCCCGUCUCCAGAAUCCACGCCUACCUGAGCCACAUCCAGGUGAGUCUGCAGCUACAGGGGAUC